UCAUAUCUUUCUCAAGUUUAAUAUCCCAAAAGGGCUCCCCAUUGCCCUCAGGCUGAAUUCUGAAGCUCUCCCCAAGGCCUGUGAGGGCCUGCCGCAUCUGGCCCCAGUGACCAAUUCCUCUUGGGCUACAGCUCAUAGAUGUCCUUCCAUUCUCCUAGGGAGCCCUGUGCUCACCCACUUCGGGCUACCAGGGACUGUGCUGCUCCCCAUCACUCUCCCUGCCCAUCUCUUCCUCCUGUGCUAGGUCUCUAUCAAGUGGCCACUCUGGGAAACCCUCCUUGACUUUUUUUUUUUUUGAGACAGACACAACACAAUGGAAAGUAAAUUGACAGGGAGCAUUCUGUUGUGGAAUGGACCAGUUGCUCCCUGUCAAUUUGCUUUCAGUCCUAUUUACCGUGGGGUAGAAAGCCUCAGUUUG
rnacentral:lncRNA from 1 species